UAGGGAAUCUUCGGCAAUGGACGAACGUCUGACCGAGCAACGCCGCGUGAGUGAAGAAGGUUUUCGGAUCGUAAAACUCUGUUGUUAGAGAAGAACAAGGACGUUAGUAACUGAACGUCCCCUGACGGUAUCUAACCAGAAAGCCACGGCUAACUCCGUGCCAGCAGCCGCGGUAAUACGGAGGGUGCAAGCGUUAAUCGGAAUUACUGGGCGUAAAGCGAACGCAGACGGUUGAUUGAGUCAGAUGUGAAAUCCCCGGGCUUAACCCGGGAGUUGAAUCUGAUACUGGUCAGCUAGAGACUUGUAGAGGGGGGUAGAAUUCCAUGUGUAGCGGUGAAAUGCGUAGAGAUGUGGAGGAAUACCGGUGGCGAGGGCGGCCCCCUGGACAAAGACUGACGCUCAGGUGCGAAAGCGUGGGGAGCAAACAGG
rnacentral:rRNA from 1 species